UCACAAUUGAAAGUUCUCUUAAACUUUGGGAGUGUUAUCUUUCGUGACUGGUAACCCAGGAAUGAGGAAAUCCGUGUAUACAUCUUUUUUUCCUGUGAUUUAAAAACGCUAUCACUUAAUUUUUAAAAGAACCAUGGCUGACUCAUACAACUCUUUCUUCUCACUUUACCCUCCUCCUUCUCAAACAUCUUUACAUAUCAAAUAUUGCCUUUUGGCUCAAGCCUCAGAAAACUGACAGCUUUGUAAAGCAUCCGCCGAGAAGCCAGACUGCGUUCAGUAUGCGCUUGGAAUUAAUAGUUCUUAAAUGAAAAGCUUUGAAGUCUUAAGCGUAAUUUCACAGGAUGCUAGCUGCACUUGAGAGCUUUGGCUUUCUCUUAACCUCCUCCUGAUCUCUUGAGAGACUACAACAUUACGUUAUGCUUUGCCCUGAGAUACUAAUGGACUCCUGCUCACUCUGAUGGACUGCAAGCCAGGAGUCUGUGUAAUAUGCUGUCCAGAGUGAAUUACAAUGAAUCAAGGCUCCUGUGAAGAGUUUCUAAUGUUCAUUAAGCACUUCCACCUUCUCUUAUGAGGCCUACUAAGCCAGCAUUAAAAACAUAUUACCCCUUCCUUUUCUGUAGAUAUAAAGUAACAGUUAAUGUUAUGCAUAUGCUAAAGUGUGGUAUAAACGUCGGCUGAUUCUGUAAGGCAGUAGC